rnacentral:rRNA from 1 species
UACGGGGGGAGCAAGCGUUGUUCGGAUUUACUGGGCGUAAAGGGCGCGUAGGCGGUCACUACAAGUCAGUUGUGAAAUCUCUGGGCUUAACUCAGAACGGUCAACUGAUACUGUCGGACUAGAGUGCAGAAGGGGCAACUGGAAUUCUCGGUGUAGCGGUGAAAUGCGUAGAUAUCGAGAGGAACACCUGCGGCGAAGGCGGGUUGCUGGGCUGACACUGACGCUGAGGCGCGAAAGCUAGGGUAGCAAACGGG